rnacentral:lncRNA from 1 species
GACAUGGGUUUGGUUGGGCAUAGUGGCUCACUCCUGUAAUCCCAGAACUUAGGGAGGCUGAGGCGGAGAACUGCUUAAACCCAGGAGACGGAGGUUGCAGUGAGCCAAGAUCACGCCACUGCACUCCAGCCUGGGCAACAGAGCGAGACUCCAUCUCAAAAAAAAAAAAAAAAAAAAAAAAAAAAAAAGAUGGGUUCUUGCUCUGUUGCCCAGCCUGGAGUGCAGUGGCACAAUCUGCAGCCCCAAACUCCAGGGCUCAAAGAAUCUUCCUGCCUCAGCCUCCCUAGUAGCUGGGACCAUAGGCGCACCCCACCACACCCAGCUUCGGACCAGCCUCUCUGCCCCAUUUUCCACCUUUUCUUCCUCCAUAACAUUGUCCACUGUGUGUGUCCAUUUGUUUGUUUUCUGGUCCCCUCUACAAGAGUUUGAGCUUCCUGGGGGCAGGGACUCUUGCUCACUGCUGUAUUUCCAGUGCAGAGAACAGAGACUGACAUGCAACUGCCACUUAAUAAAUAUUUGUUGAAUGAAUAGGGGGUGAAAUAUGUGAAAACUCUUGCUUCCAACUAAACAGAAAUGCUGAGCAAUACAGUAUACUUGAUUAUUUUGCUUAGCAUCCAAGAUCAUUUCUGCCAUCAUAGGAAGUCUUCAAAAGUGGCUGGCUUUUCUAAAUUCAUUAUAUAAUUACCCUCUUAAGGCUGAGUGAGCACUUAAAAAUGCAAUUCCAAAAUUGUUUUUGCCUACAUAAUAUCUCUGCUAUUGAUGUUACCAUUUAUCAAACACUGUGACGGGACAUAUCAUUAAAACACAUCUUAAGGAAAAUUCAGGCUCUGAUAAGCACUAUGGCAUAAAGCAAAGAAGAGUGGACUUGUGCCAGUCUUAGCCCUACCCCAUGUGAGCCAUAUGGCCUUAGCAAAGCCAGUUAAUCUCUUUGGUAUUUUUCUCUUUAGCUAUAAAAUGCAGAUACUCUGCUAAGUCAGCCUGAUAAGAGAUGUUGUGAGGGUCGAAUAAGAAAAUACAGAGAAGUGCUUUGAACACCUGAAAACCAUCAUGAAGGGUUAUGAUUAUAUCAAAAUAAUAGUCAGUCAUUAACUUUUGAGCACCUGGUAGAGCCAGGAAUUCAGCAAGAGCUCUGGAACCAUCUUUAUCUAAACUCCCAGACAAGCUUUCCAUGGAGGUGGGGGGAUGGUGAAUAGUAUGCACAUAAAAUACGUGCUCAUCUUGGCCUGGCACAGUGGCUCACUCCUGUAAUCCCAGCACUUUUGGAGGCCAAGGGGGGAAGAUCUCUUAAGGUCAGGAGUUCAAGACCAGCCUGGCCAACAUGGUGAAGCCCUAUCUCUACUAAAAACACAAAAUAUUAGCUGGAUGUGGUGGUGCACACCUGUAAUCCCGGCUACUCGGGAGGCUGAGGCAGAAGAAUGGCUUCAAUUCAGGAGGCAGUG